GUCUUUCUUGACGUUUCUAUACAUUUCAGAUGCUUUUCAUUGGAGUGUGGAAGAAAUGUGAGAAAGAGGUGUCUUAGAUGAGAGGAGACGAGAUUGAGCUACAUGGAUCAAGGGAGAAGAGUUGAGCUGUAUGUUCUAGAGUACAAAAGCGCCUCUGUUGUACAGUUUCAUCGGCCUGAUGAUUCCCUGCUGGAAAUCAGUGGAUGACUCAAAAGAAAGACAACAAGCAGCCAGAUGUCAGACGGCAAAAGACAACACCGUUUUUCUUUCUUCAUGACAGCUGGGAUGAACAUUUGGAAGAUACUGAUCCAAAUGUUUCUGGAGCACUUCUGAUUGCACUUCUGUCAAGAGAAUGAUUCUCUGUGGGCCAUGUGAAUCUCAGCCUGAGUGUUGGCUGAUACAAGAAGAUGAAGGUGUAACACAACAAGACCUGCUGCUGCUCAGCUGCUUCCCAGCGCAGAAUGUGAGACAGUGCUCACGUGCAUUUGUAUUUUGGCAAACUCAGCUAAGACUCAUGGCCAAGGAAGGCAUAUUUUACUGCCGUUGCUAAGACUGCAAAAGGUAAUCGCCUUCUGCAGGGACAUCCACGUGUAACUGUUUGUCACACCAGCAGCCAGGAGAUAUGGAUGUGAUCAUCAAGUUUUGUUAAAAGAAAUGCUGAAUGCAGUGAACGUUUCAGGAGGAAAAGGCAAGCGUCAAUGUGGAACGUGGCCUUUUUAAAGUCAACCCUAGGAAACAUCCCAUUUUGGCGACUCCUUGUAAUUCACGUUAAUGUUCUUUCAGCAGCACAGUUGCUGCUUCCACGCUGUGAGCAUCUCCUGUAUUUGCUUUAGAAGUGCUUCCUGCUGAUGCUUUAAACACAGGAAGGGAAAGGUUGGUCACAAAAUGCCUUCUGAGCGCAGAGGAGAAGCCUGCUUGGGGCUGGGGCUGCAUGCAAGUCAAAAUACUUUUCAUUGAAGCUACUAUUUUUCUAUACCCUUUUACUCUUUUUCUGUGCUUGCAGUGACAGCUGUAGGUAUCUCGCGUAACCAGCUGCUCUCUGUUCACAGCUAUAGGUGCUGGUGCCCUGUAUGUCCAUGAAUGGAUGGUUUAAGAGCCUGAUGUAGUUAAGCAACACGAACACAGGGCAUUCCUCCUCCGCUCUACCCUUGGAGCUGAAAGGCAAAAUAUUGGAAUGGUAAGAAAUGGUUUGCUUCCCUCUGUUUCCUUCAGUGUAAAAGUUGCAAAUUCCCUAACUGAAUCUCAAUAAUGAAUUGAUAUCAGGAAAAACUUCUUUACAGAAAGGGUUGUUAAGCACUGGAAUGGGCUGCACAAGGAGGUGGUUGAGUCACCGUCCCUGGACGUGUUCAAAAUGCAUCUGGAUGUGGUGCUCAGGGACCUGAUUGAGCUGUUGCCAGAGUUAGGUAGUAUGGUCAGGUUCUGGUUGGACUUGAUGAUCUUUAAGGUCUUUUUCAACCUGAUCAAUUCUAUGAUUCUAUGAUUCUAUGAUCUCCUUCUGUACUAAAUUCCAGUUUACACUGUGGCAAGUAAAUGUAGCAAAUAUUGAACCUCCAUCCAAUACAAACUGCCUUAACAUAAGUGGUGAAUCAUACCAAACAUCUGUUUCUCUAAAUAUCUCAUUUCCUAUAAUAAUGACUAAAGGAUAAGCAUGGAAAUGCAUAAGAUUAGGACACACAUCAUAUAAACGGGCUCCAUAACAUUAUCUCACUCUCCAGAAACUCGCAUUUUAGGAAUUUCUUAAAUCAGAAGACAGCAGCAGUCCUCUCAGGAUUUCCUUUCCAGGAAUGUGUUCUCCUUUGAACUCCUGCAAACUUUCCAUGCCUGUGACAUUGUGCAGCAAGAAGUUCGGCGCUGAGCUGUCUGUCACAAGGGAAACAGUCGUCUUCUCUUUACUGUGAGACCAGCUUUGUUGCCCCCUACUUCUCAUAGUGUAGAAAACACACCAGAAUUACCUUUGCUACGUUUCUCAUGACCCAAAACAAUUCUAAUCAGACUCUCCUCUUUUCAUGUCUUGUUGCCCACUUUCUAAACCCAUCCCUGCAGUGUAUAGGGACCUCUGCUUUCACAUAUCACAACAGUCCUUUCAGUCCUGAACUGUGCUUUCUGAAAUAUUGACUGUGAUUUUUGAAUGAUUUUGAUGUAACUUCAGACUGAAAAAAACCCUGUAAUGACUUACUCCAAGCAAACAAGACAACAGGAUAGUUUCUUCCCUGCUCUGUAGCUCUGUCUGCAAUACUAAAUGCUUUUAUUGUUGGACAGCCUCCCUGUACUGCAGUCCUGUAAUUCAGUUACACAGAAGAGAUGUAGGACAUGGAAAUUUGGUCAAGUAGAAUGUGCUGAAGUUAUCAUAGUUACAUCACUUAUCGAACUUCAUAAUUAAAUGGUUUAGCAAGACCAACAUGCACUACUGUAUACAGUCAUGGUUCAUACAGUAACAAUACUUAUUUAUAGAUAUGCAUUAAAGAUUACCUGUCACCAGAGUAAGUUCAGGUCAUGAAGACAUCACACUAAGGACAAAUGAAGUGUACUUGAAAAUCUCCUGGAACUAGAAGGAAAAAAAAACAACAAGUGAAAAUGAAGCUUGUGCAUACCUGAAAGCUCAUUGGGAAUUGGAUUUUUUCCCCAAGUCUUUAAGGAGCCUUAUAGGAUUCACUGCUGCAACAACCAUUUCAUUUCAGAGCCUCACAGCUGUACGUACUGAACAGCUGAGCCCUUCCAAGACUGCUGCAUCUCUGUUUCUAGAGACUUAAUUAAUUUUAAAACAAAAGGGUUAGGAUUACAGCUGAUGGUAGCACAGGUGAUGCACAGUUUUAUCCACAUGGCUGUUUUAAAUGCGGCAUCCAGACUCUGCUCUCUGAUCUUUCUAAACUUUGAAUCUGGCUCUUUAUUAAAGUAUUUUGAAUAUAAAAGACCAUAUUAGAAUGCCCCCUAUUAUUUGGACCGGGUGGGAGGUGAUAUUUUCAGCAGCGUCCAAUUUUUAUAGGAUCUCUUUAUGCCCAAGAUUCCUUAGUAUUUAUUUGGUUAUGUACCCAUGUCCUCUGGGAGUCUGUCUGAGAACUUUCUGCCGUGGUUUUGUUUGGUGUUUGAAUUAGCACUCAAUUUCUGUUUUACGUUGUUCAGUCAAGUCUUAUCCUCCCCGUCCCCUGCCUCGCCCCUGAUGAAAUUUGGGUUUCUUUCACCCUGUUUGAAGAAUUUUUUUUCAGGCAUUAACCCUCUGAGCCUACAGAUUAACCAUCCUGGCAUAAUUAAAGCCUGAAAUUUGAAAACAAUCAAUAAAAGUGAAACAAUGACACUAUCUGGAAAUAAAUGUUACCAAGAUGGAUCAGCUUACAUUGCUUUAAGGGCUAUAUGGGAUUUGUUCUCAUCUGGGAAAUAAUUUGCUAAUGCAGUAUGGAUUUAAGGUCCACUUCAACCUAAACCAUUCUAUGAUUCUAUAUCUAAAAUACACCAGUCUGUCAAAAGUUGUACCAGGUGAUCCCUUACACUGCAGCUUAAUUUAGCAGAAGGAAAAUGCCACUCUAUACUUUGUUUGGACAGCCUGGGUUAGUACCAGAUCUGGAGGUUGGUGGCCCUGCCUGUAGCAGGGGGGCUGGAACUUGAUGAUCCUUGGGGUCCUUUCCAACCCAAGCCAUCUUAUGAUUCUAUGUUUAUAUUUCAAUUUAAUAACAUUUGAAGAACCAAACGUAUGUUCUCAUCAAAGAUUUCUCUUUGACCAAAAACAGCAUCCAAAGGAAACCACAGAACACUGCGCACCAGUUUUAAUGACCUUAACUUACUUAGUUGUUCCAUGUUUUGCACUGCUUCCAGUUCUUUUAGGUAUUUCAAAGGACAGUUGAGUAUUGUGAAAUGUGGUUGUAAUUAUUAAAAAAAAAAAAAAGUAAUCCUUCAAAAUAUUGUGUUAAACAUAUUAUCUUAAAUAUUUAUGCAACAGAUGCUGAUGCUUUGCCCUAAGGUUAAUGUGGACCCAUUUAGCCUCUGUUACUGAGUCACCGUGGCAGAAAUUAGAACGUUAUGUUUGUAUUUAGAUUAUCUAUUACAAACACAUCUGGGUGACCAUCCUGGGAUUAAUUUCUUGAAGUCUGACAUUUGCGUACCUUAUUCUGAUCUGGUCCUCUCAGGGUCUGUUGUCAAUUCCAUAACUACCUCCCCCCAUUCAGCCGAAGGAAGGGAAAUAAGAAAAUUGAAAGGUCAGACUUCUGAAGUCAUCUUCGCCAUGUGCUUAACAUUUACAUCAUCAAAUUAAUGGAAUAACUGCAACCACAAGCACAAAAGAUAAAGGACAGAAGCUCUUUUUCCUUCGCAGUACAAAUCCUUCUCACACAGAAGCUCACACUGAAUCUUUUCCCAGCUGUACAGGAUUUACUUCCCAUUCUCUUCCAAGAUGCCAGAAACUCAGCCUCUAGCUAAAGCUUGCUAAGACAACUCUUUUUUGUUUCUCUUGGUGAAGCAGAUGCACCACAUUCUAAACACUUGCUCUUUCCACCAUGAGAAAUGUUCUGGGACAGAAACAGCCCCAAAAGAUCGAAUGUUAUCAUUUCUUUUCUCAUUAUGCCAGUUUACACCACUGUUGUCAGUGAAUGUAAGAAACAUUAGUAAGUACAAGCUGUGGUAAUUCCUGGAGAUUGCCUUACAGUGAUCUGGAAGCCUACCUGCCUCUCCAUGGAGUCCAAAGAGAGUCAUGCCAUCCAUCUCCCUGAAGUAGAACUGGGCCCUGAAGUCUGAAAACUGCAAUAUUUUGUAUAGUUCUGCCUAUAUACCAAAUAUCCUUAGCAUCCAAAAUCCACUUGGCAGGUCUUUGAUCAGGCACUAAGUUUCAUAUGUAUGAACCAAUCCAUGCCAGAAUGAGAGUCUUUCACCAGUGUGUAACCAACUUGUUAAUGUGAGCAAAUGAAGCAUCAGAGAAGGGUAAGGAAGAGGGAAAAAAUAAGGUCAGAUCUAUAAAGUAAGUAAUCUCUAAGGAUUAAGCAGUGCUUCUGUGUAGUGCUUCCUCCACCAAAAGAAAAAAAGACAAGAUUCGGUGCUCUCAACGUAAAUGACUAUGAAGACUGGCUGACCUCUGUGCCUUUGGCAGAUACCACAAAAUAGUAUAAAUAAAUUGGAGCAAAACUUCUAUGUCGUGCAAAAGGUUAUCAGGGUACCCCAAAAAGACAUAAAACAUUUGGUAAGAUGCUAAAUGCAGUAUUAUCCAUGUAACAUCUACAGUCAUCUGGGGUAGGCAAACUCAGGCCAGGGCAACAGAAGUUGAGGUUUAUGUCCUAGGGUCGAGAUUAAAUUUAAAUAAGACACACACUGCUUGCUUGUUAGCUGAGACAAACAUGAUGUCACUCAUUUACUCUGCAGACACUCCCCCUGUAAUACACUCAGUGCUAAACUGAGAGAUGUUCUUAAGAAUGUCAUAGGUGAGGAAGUGAGCAGGAGGAAAUGGUACCUCUGUUUUGAUACCUGGGUUAAUGGAAACUUAUUUGAAACACUGGAAGUUAUGUAAUAGGGUACAACCAGUUAUCAGGUGUUGCCUAUUGAGAGGGAAAACUACACAGAGCCACAUCUGACUUUAAAAAGCUUCCUGUAAUGCUGAUUUACUUUGAGAUGGCACCUAGAAAGAACGUCGUCUUCUGAAAGCAUCUGCUGUAAUGCACAGCCCAAGAAAUGCACACAAACAGCUGUAAUUACUAAUAAAAACACGUGUUUUGUAAGUGCUGGAAAGCCUUCAAUUUAGCAUCUCUGUAAAUGCCGGAAAGCUCUUAGAAUAAACGACCAGAAUUCCUCCUUCUGGCAAGAGCCCCACCUGAAGGCUCUACCAAAGAAGAGCAUUAGCAGUCAUUUUUUGCAGCUGGCGAAGGAAAAUACAAGUUUAGGUGAAGAAUCUGUCACAAUUUCCAACAUGAGAAAGGAAAGCAAGAGGGAACUUGUCUGAGUCUGCCUUCUCGCAGCAGGAGGGCUAUGAAAGUGUUUUUGAUGUCAGACAAAACCAUUCUUUGCAAUGGAUAAAAUGCAACAGAAAUGGACAAGGUGCAGUUUUGGGAAGUGAUGCUUUUUGACUGUGAUGGUGCUGUGGUGAACGUUUCAAUUCAGUGUCAGUUUUGUAAAAUUCAAAAUCUGAGUAUCUCUCUAUGCUCUUCACCUUCUAGAAUGGUUUCCAGUGUGGCUUACUUCCUUUAACAAUCUUUAACUACUAUCUGCAGGCACCAAUUAUCUGUUAUUAUUAUUUCUGCAGUUUAACAACACAAAGCAAAAGCAGAAAUAAAUAAGAGAGAACAGAAGUAGCUCAUGAAGUCCAAAAACAUGCAUAAGAUUUGAUACACAAUGAAUUAAUUUCUUCUCAUUCAGUCCGCGCCAGGACAGCGGCUCCAGGGCUGUGUGGUCCUAGAGCUUUAAAGUCAUUGAAAUUCUAAUCUUUAAAAAACACUGAAAGAUGAACUUUGACUGUACAAACCUUUAAAUAAAAAUAGCAUUUUUACUAAUGUGCUCUUCCCAAGUGCCUGCUUCUUCGUAGUAGGUUUCCCAUCCUAAUACUGUAUGUUUUUGCAGCUGGCAAUUGACACUGCCAAUGAGCCUUUAUGUUCAAUGUUAUUUAAUAUAUUCCCAUCAGAAAGUUAUUUUUACUUUUCAGUUUCAGUAUCUUCUUGAAGUGUCCUGCAUAUAACCUUCAUAUUGUAAUGUGCAUUUUUUCCCAUAGGAUAAAAAAAAAUAAGGAUUCAAACAACAAUAUUGAAAGAAUUUAGACCCAUUUGCUGAGAAAAAGAAUUUUACAGAAUGGAAAAAUGCUUUAUUUUACUGGG